rnacentral:tRNA from 1 species
CGCCCGGGAGCGCAGCGAAGCGAGCACCCCGGAACGUCUGUGCCGGGUUCAAAUCCCGCUCCGGGCGU